UAAUUUGAAGCCGAAACAUGUGACCGAAUUAUUUAUAUUACCGCGUUCCGCCACGUUUCAUCGCGUUCGUCUUCACAGUCGUUUCGAGUAAUUUCAAGAAGAACGUCCACAGGUCCCAUUUUAAGAUAAACUGACAAAGGCACGCACGUUUCAAUUCUGUGGUGCAUUUAAAGAUCGAUAUUCCAGUCGUACGCGCGCGGAGAUUCUUCUCCGGCAGUGUAAACAUAUCCUCGAUACGUCCGUGGAACGCAGUAAAGAGACGCGAAGAGACAGGCGAGCAAGGGUGGGAAGAAGCUACGGGGCUUCUACGGUGCUUGCGGUGGUGCGGAAUCCGCGCCGGUUUGCCGCGACGCGGGGUGCAUCGGGGAAAUGAUGCGCAGAUUGGCCGGAUCAUCUCAAAAACCACCACCCUCUGCCUCCAGCCCUCCUCCUACUACCAUUCGUCCCCUCUGAUUUCUCUUUCUCCCUCUUUCUCGCACUCUAUAUC
rnacentral:misc_RNA from 1 species